UGGGGAAUAUUGCACAAUGGGCGAAAGCCUGAUGCAGCAACGCCGCGUGAGUGAUGAAGGCCUUCGGGUUGUAAGGCUCUGUCUUCUGGGACGAUAAUGACGGUACCAGAGGAGGAAGCCACGGCUAACUACGUGCCAGCAGCCGCGGUAAUACGUAGGUGGCAAGCGUUGUCCGGAUUUACUGGGCGUAAAGGAUGCGUAGGCGGAUACUUAAGUCAGAUGUGAAAAUCCCGGGCUUAACUUGGGAACUGCAUUUGAAAUUGGGUCUCUAGAGUGCGGGAGAGGAAAGUGGAAUUCCUAGUGUAGCGGUGAAAUGCGUAGAGAUUAGGAAGAACACCAGUGGCGAAGGCGACUUUCUGGACCGUAACUGACGCUGAGGCAUGAAAGCGUGGGGAGCAAACA
rnacentral:rRNA from 1 species